rnacentral:rRNA from 1 species
AGCAGCAGCCACGGGAAUACGUAGGGUGCAAGCGUUACUCGGAAUUACUGGGCGUAAAGCGUGCGUAGGUGGUGGUUUAAGUCCGUUGUGAAAGCCCUGGGCUCAACCUGGGAAUUGCAGUGGAUACUGGGUCACUAGAGUGUGGUAGAGGAUAGUGGAAUUUCCGGUGUAGCAGUGAAAUGCGUAGAGAUCGGAAGGAACAUCUGUGGCGAAGGCGACUAUCUGGGCCAACACUGACACUGAGGCACGAAAGCGUGGGGAGCAAACAGGAUUAGAUACCCGAGUAGCCCUGUCUCUUAUACA